rnacentral:rRNA from 1 species
ACGAGUUUGAUCCUGGCUCAGAACGAACGCUGGCGGCAGGCUUAACACAUGCAAGUCGAGCGCCCCGCAAGGGGAGCGGCAGACGGGUGAGUAACACGUGGGAACCUACCCUUUUCUACGGAAUAACGUAUGGAAACGUGUGCUAAUACCGUAUACGCCCUUCGGGGGAAAGAUUUAUCGGAGAAGGAUGGGCCCGCGUUGGAUUAGCUAGUUGGUGGGGUAAAGGCCUACCAAGGCGACGAUCCAUAGCUGGUCUGAGAGGAUGAUCAGCCACAUUGGGACUGAGACACGGCCCAAACUCCUACGGGAGGCAGCAGUGGGGAAUAUUGGACAAUGGGCGCAAGCCUGAUCCAGCCAUGCCGCGUGAGUGAUGAAGGCCUUAGGGUUGUAAAGCUCUUUCACCGGAGAAGAUAAUGACGGUAUCCGGAGAAGAAGCCCCGGCUAACUUCGUG